rnacentral:rRNA from 1 species
GAUGAACGCUGGCGGCGUGCCUAAUACAUGCAAGUCGAGCGAACGGACGAGAAGCUUGCUUCUCUGAUGUUAGCGGCGGACGGGUGAGUAACACGUGGAUAACCUACCUAUAAGACUGGGAUAACUUCGGGAAACCGGAGCUAAUACCGGAUAAUAUUUUGAACCGCAUGGUUCAAAAGUGAAAGACGGUCUUGCUGUCACUUAUAGAUGGAUCCGCGCUGCAUUAGCUAGUUGGUAAGGUAACGGCUUACCAAGGCAACGAUGCAUAGCCGACCUGAGAAGGUGAUCGGCCACACUGGAACUGAGACACGGUCCAGACUCCUACGGGAGGCAGCAGUAGGGAAUCUUCCGCAAAGGGCGAAAGCCUGACGGAGCAACGCCGCGUGAGUGAUGAAGGUCUUCGGAUCGUAAAACUCUGUUAUUAGGGAAGAACAUAUGUGUAAGUAACUGUGCACAUCUUGACGGUACCUAAUCAGAAAGCCACGGCUAACUACGUG